rnacentral:rRNA from 1 species
CCUACGGGGGGCAGCAGUGGGGAAUAUUGGACAAUGGGCGAAAGCCUGAUCCAGCCAUGCCGCGUGUGUGAAGAAGGCCUUCGGGUUGUAAAGCACUUUCAGUGGGGAAGAAAGCCUUGGGGCUAAUACCCUCGAGGAAGGACAUCACCCACAGAAGAAGCACCGGCUAACUCCGUGCCAGCAGCCGCGGUAAUACGGAGGGUGCGCGCGUUAAUCGGAAUUACUGGGCGUAAAGCGCGCGUAGGCGGUCUGAUAAGCCGGUUGUGAAAGCCCCGGGCUCAACCUGGGAACGGCAUCCGGAACUGUCAGGCUAGAGUGCAGGAGAGGAAGGUAGAAUUCCCGGUGUAGCGGUGAAAUGCGUAGAGAUCGGGAGGAAUACCAGUGGCGAAGGCGGCCUUCUGGACUGACACUGACGCUGAGGUGCGAAAGCGUGGGUAGCAAACAGGAUUAGAUACCCUAGUAGUC